ACUCCUACGGGAGGCAGCAGUGGGGAAUCUUGGACAAUGGGGGCAACCCUGAUCCAGCCAUGCCGCGUGAGUGAAGAAGGCCUUAGGGUCGUAAAGCUCUUUCGCCUGUGAAGAUAAUGACGGUAGCAGGUAAAGAAACCCCGGCUAACUCCGUGCCAGCAGCCGCGGUAAUACGGAGGGGGUUAGCGUUGUUCGGAAUUACUGGGGCGUAAAGCGCGCGUAGGCGGACCAGAAAGUUGGGGGUGAAAUCCCCGGGGCUCAACCCCGGAACUGCCUCCAAAACUCCUGGUCUUGAGUUCGAGAGAGGUGAGUGGAAUUCCGAGUGUAGAGGUGAAAUUCGUAGAUAUUCGGAGGAACACCAGUGGCGAAGGCGGCUCACUGGCUCGAUACUGACGCUGAGGUGCGAAAGUGUGGGGAGCAAACAGGAUUAGAUACCCUGGUAGGACAGUG
rnacentral:rRNA from 1 species